UCAGAGGCAGAAAGAUAACAUUCUAGAAUACUCCACUGUUCAGAGGCAGAAAGAUAACAUUCUAGAAUACUCCACUGUUCAGAGCACAGCUAGACGCAGACAGGCUGGCCAGUACACACUGAUCAAUAUUUGAACAAUAUGUUCCCGGUUCCCCCUAGGUUCAAGGUUCAAAGCCAUGAAGCGAUCCGCAAGAAAGCCAAGGGUCUUUUUUAACUAUACCCGAGAGAAAUAGGUCAGGGCGAAGAGAAGACACUAACGCACACACACUCGCGCAGGCACAGUUUAACUGGCGAAACGAACGGCAAACGAAAAAACCAACAACAAAACACGAAUGAUGAAAAGAGGGGAGAAGAAGCAAAAGCAAGAGGGACAUUCCUUUUUCCUCGCUGAAAGAGAGGAACCUUGGUACGCGGGAACACGCUCUCACCCUCACCCCAAAAUCCUGGAGACACUGACCCCCUCUGUGACCCCGUGUGACCUCCGAAUUUCAGAAUGUUUCUCUGAAGCUCUCUCUUCAAUAAAUAACCACUGCUCCGUUG